UACGGGGGGGGCAAGCGUUGUUCGGAAUUACUGGGCGUAAAGGGCCAGUAGGCGGCCAACUAAGUCCGACGUGAAAUCCCAAGGCUUAACCUUGGAACUGCGUCGGAUACUGGAUGGCUUGAAUUCGGGAGAGGGAUGCAGAAUUCCAGGUGUAGCGGUGAAAUGCGUAGAUAUCAAGUGGAACACCAGUGGCGAAGGCGAGUCCCUGGACAAGACCUGACACUGAGGCACGAAAGCCAGGGGAGCAAACAGG
rnacentral:rRNA from 1 species